UACGUAUGGUGCAAGCGUUAUCCGGAUUUACUGGGCGUAAAGGGAGCGCAGGCGGCGCGCCAAGUCUAAUGUGAAACCCCGGGGCUCAACCCCGGGCAUGCAUUGGAAACUGGCGGGCUGGAGUGCCGGAGAGGUAAGCGGAAUUCCUAGUGUAGCGGUGAAAUGCGUAGAUAUUAGGAGGAACACCAGUGGCGAAGGCGGCUUACUGGACGGCAACUGACGCUGGGGCUCGAAAGCGUGGGGAGCAAACAGG
rnacentral:rRNA from 1 species